ensembl:lncRNA
UCCCCAUAAUCAUGUAAAGCUGCAGUAUGACUUAGUGUUCACUCCCUGCUCUCGUUCUGUCUCUUGCUUGCGCUUCAUCCACUGUGGAUAACCACUUGGCUUUGAUAACAACGGUGUGAAAAUAGGCCCUCGCAGCACACGACACAGUAACCCAGAGGACCAUGCGACCCACUAUUUUAACACCUACUCCAAGGACAUGCUGGUCCAGGCCAUGGUGGGGAUCCUUCAAGGAAAAGCGCGAGGAGGGGAGGAGGAGAGUGUGUUGAUGCACGACCUUAAGCCAUUCCGCAUCCUCAUCAGCCUGCUGGACAAGCCAGAGCUUGGUACAACACACACACACACACACACACACACACACACACACACACACAAACAUAGCCAUGCACCUGCCCUCAGUCAAAGUCGCACAAAUGCACACACUCUCACUCCGUGAUCCUGUAUGUGUGUGGUUGCGUUGUCAG